rnacentral:tRNA from 1 species
CAGAGAAUAGUUCAGUUUUAGAAUUUUGGCUUUGGGAGCCACGGGUGGGGGUUAAAGUCCCUUUUUUCUGG